UAACAUAAAAUACGUCUGUUUCAUUUUCCUUGGACGCCGCAUAUGAAGGAUAUCAAAAAAUGGUUCAAGUAAAUGUUAUUCAAUUUGAUAAAAGUUAUUUAAAUAAAAAAGAUUAGGUAUAGCUUUCCAUUUAAGAAGGACGACGUCAGUUUAUUCUGAUCUUAUGGUAGCCAGUUUAGAAAAAUUUUAUUAUACACCACACAAUCAAGCACUUCGUACUAUUUAAUUUAAAAAAAGAAUUAGGUGAAUAGCUGUUAUAGUUUCCGAGAUAAUAGUUUGUACCACUUUACCUGAUUUACCCUAUAGUAUUAUGUACAGAAUCGAGCAUGAUAGACCUUUCUAGAAAAUAUUGCGAGAAGCCUUUUUCCCUUUUAGACUAUAAAAAUAGCACACUCUGCCUAACCAUAUACAUAUGUAAAGUAAAUUAGUGGAUCUUCUUUUUCCAUGAUUUCAUUACUCCAAUUCUAAAGGCUGUGGUUGUCGUGUUAGGACGCACACGUGAUAUUUUUCACACAAGGGUAGCUGUCGCGUGCAGAAACCACUUUGUAAUAUUUCAUUCAUUUUUGGAUAAUUAAACCCUUGCCACAUAAUGACGAGACACACUCGUGACGCACCUUAUAGUUCUAAUGUGACAAAACUGAACCGUACCUGUGUUAUAAUAGAAUUUGAAGUAUAAUUUCAGUUAGAAUUUACACAGCCGAGAAUCUCUAAAUAUAAUAUAUGCACAAUAUUUCGAAUUAUUUAAUUUGCAUCAACAUUACAGCAAUGAGUAGUUAGCUUUGGUGAAAAUGGUGAAAAAAAAGUACAGCAAAGGUUUAAUAAUGUCCAUGUAUCCUUUGACAAAAUUAUUCUAGUGAUAAUUAUUUUACGAGUUUAGUUUGCUCUAGAAACACAAAAUUUGAAAGAAAAGAGCGAUAAUUGUAUUAAAUUAUACACAAAGACUCGAAUAAUCCAUUUGCUUUUAAAUAUUGGAAUACUGAAUCCGUUAACUGACGCGAUUCUACAUAAUUAUUGUCAUUUAAGAUCGAGGUAGAUUUCUAUUCGAGGAACAAUUAUCACUCUUCGUUAACCGGGCUAUUAAAAAUGUACAGUGUCGGUAAAACGCGAAGUAUUCCAUAAAUCCUCGAGAUAACGAGAGAAGAACGAAGGGACUUGCUUCCACCGGAAAUUCUAAUGAUUUCACAUUUUCUGUUCCUACCGAAGGGAAAGAAACGCCGCAGACACGCAUCUUGAAAGCCGAGUUCACGCAGAUGUAUUAAAACGUCCAGGUGUUAACUAAAAUGUGCAGAAGAGAAUUGUAAUUCAGAACUGUAUAUAAAACUACAGUUUAUAAAUACUUAAAUAAAAUAAAAUAUAUUUUACUAUCAUUUUGAGAUACACGGAUUUACCUCAUGGUAAAUCUCAAAUUAUUCUCAACAUAGUGAUCCAAAUAUCAGCUGGUUGGAAUAACUGUUCCUGGAAUGCCUUGAAUCAUUCACAGGCCACAUUCAUCGGUCCCAAGGGGGAUCUUCAUUCAUCCAGCUGCUUCAAACGUAACGGUUACAAUACUAGACUUAAAAGGAUAUAUUUCAAAUUUGACUUGCAAUGGCUCAUUCGAUAGCUUAUGAAGAAAAAAUAGUCUGUGCCAAGUCUUCAACCCUAUAUCUUAUCUGGGAAGGUACUAAUGGGCAAAAAUGUCAAAUCACGUUUUUUGGUCAAUUUUUCCUAUGUUUGUGAUGAAAAAUUCCGAAAAAUAUCAGAGAUACUUCUAUUUACAUAUGAUGCACAUACAACAGGAGCUUCGCAGAUUUUUAAGUUGAAAAUCCAAAAUGUAAAAAAUUGAAAAAACCCCAAAAAUGCUGAAAAAUGGCAAUUUUGUAUUGAAGGAGUCGCAGAUCUGAAUUCAUACUUUUUUUUAUAAGUGUAUAUCAUUGAUACUAUUAUUCUCAAUUUUUGUGACAUUUUUUGUUCGGGUACGCCAUAGUUAAAAAAAUAAAUGAAAACUGAUUUUUCCGCCAUUUUUGCAUGUCAUAGUUACUCAUACGCCAAAGUUUUGUCUGCUCUUUAUCAAAUAAGUGUGUUAUAAUAUGUUGAAUGUUUUUACGUACAGUGAAACAGAAUAGGAAUUAAAGAAACUAAAUAAAUCGGAUUGAUUGAAAAAUUUUUCAUCCACAAACAUAGGAAAAAUGUACUGAAAAACCGUGAUUUUACAUUUUUGCCCAUUAUUACCUCCCAAGAUGAGAUACAGGACUAUUUUUUCUUCAUAAACUAUCGAAUGAGCCAUUGCAAGUCAAAUUUGGUUUAGUAGCACUUUUUACUAUCUUAUCCGGCUAUACUAUACCCUUUGCCUGGGCGCAGCACCCUGCAACCGCAAAAGCGUUCGUUUCUCCGACUAACGCAACUAAACGACAUGCUUAUCCUUGAGACUGAUGCUGAAACUCGUAGACCGAGAAGGAACCGCGUGGAACCGUUUCCAGGCUUGAACCAGGGUCAGGAAUCUAUAGCAAGCGAUGACGCGAAGUCGUUCCGCGUUGUGUGCUUUCUUUUCAAUUCGCACGGCCAGACCGGUGAUGCAAGAGGACCACAAAGUCGAGGCAGAUUUCACGAUCGAUUCGAAUUACCCGUUCGAGCCGUACCACGCAGCUUAACGUCUAAUUCAACCCCAUCAUCCCCUAUCCCUCAUCCCCCUAGAAUCACGGUUUUUUCCCUCGAUGGUGUUGCACACCCCUUUCGACGCUGCAAGAAGCUGCGAGCGGGUUUUCGAGAGCAUAUUAUGCAGAUACCACUGAAAACACGGCUGCGACACCGUCUCUCUAUAUAAUACAUACGUACGCGAUGAUUAUACGUUUGAUGCCCCUAGUUUUCAACGCAGAUGUUACGUGCUAGCUGGUUUUUCCGGGCUAUAGUAUAAAUACUGUUCUCUGCUCGCAAGAAGUCCCGCUGGACGGCACAGGGGCAAGAGGGGGAUACUACGCACACAUCAACUGAUCCCCUAGUUUAACACGAGUCUAAUUAGUAGAUGUAAUCGCUUCGACCAGUCAUAUGUCACGACUGAAAGUACGUGUGAGCUGAGGUGGGGCACGACCAAUCAGAUUGCGUUAUUCGCAUGCAACUUCUUGUGAUUGGUGAGCAGUACGUCUCAAUUGUUCGAAGGAUUUGUGUACAUACAUACAUACUCGUUUUGUAUAGUCUAUUUCAUAGAAUUAUUCUGUGAAAAAUUUGUAUCUAUAUUACAAAAUAAUUAAAUAAAAAACAAAAGAGAAAUUCAAUUUUCACUGCUUUCAAAAGAAAAAUAGUGUUCAUGAACAUAAUCCAUCAUCGGAAUUACUGUUAUCCUUUUUCCCGCCUUCUGUUCAAAAAAUUUUUUCGCCAUUUUGAACCGCCAUCAAUCACCGCCAAUGGGAAAUACUGAUACAUGGCAAAGGUUACGCAGAAUAUUUCCGGGUAGAAAUAAAAUCGAGCAACUUCGAGGACACCAUGUGCAUCGGAUCAGUAACGUACAUCCAUCGGUGCAUAUAUAUAUAUAUAUUAUAUUGUUUAUUUUCAACGGAGGCAAAACGUACAGGAUGCACGACGUGUAUUUACCGCGGAUAACGGAACUACGCCGAUACUUGAACGUUCCUUAUUGCUCGAACGAACGAGAAAACGGGACGGAGACACGCAUAUGAAGAAAAAGAAACAAGGAAGUACCCGUACGGUAUCGUCAUCCGGCUGAACAAACCUUCGAAAGGAUUUCUUUAGAUGGAAGAUUACAGCACAGACGGUAAAAGUAAAAUCACAUUCGUUGACUCACAAGUAUCGAAUAAUAACGAAUGCUCGCUGUAGCAUACUGGUCGAUUGUUUUCGACGGAUAACGGUAAUCGAUAAAAAGCCAUGGGUUUGAGUUGAUCUAUCUGGGAAAUUGCAUCGUCGAGAGCUUACAUCUCGAUAUCUCGAACGGUUUUGAAGGCAAUCAGAUCCAAGUUCGAUUCGAGUAAUUAGCGAGGUUAUACUCCCAACGAGCCUUGUAUUUCCCGCUUUCAAAGGUUUCGAUUGAAAAUUAUAAUUGUACAAUCGAAACUUUGUUUGAUGUAAUAUAACACGUAAAGUUUCAAAAUCGUCCUUCCGGAAACGGGAGCAAACAGAAAAAAGGUUUCAAAGAAACAUUUAAAGUGUCCAACAAUAUGGCUGACGCUUUCAACGGGUAUGAAAGACUUUUUUAAAUUAAGAAUUCUCUGAAAGUUGGAAUAGGAACUAGUAUAAACAAGUCUUCGGAGUUUCGCCAGCUUUAAAAAAGUUUAAUCAGUCGCUGCAGAAUAUUCGAGAAAAAUUUUAAUAAGUCUCUUCCGUUCCCUCCACACCUGCUUUCAUUUCCGGAUGAAGAUCAUCCGCCAUCUUUCAAUACCUAAAAAUAACCUAACCUCAAAUGGACAUAACUGCAAAUCGCAACUUUUCACUAAAAAUACUUGGAUUCAUUCUUUGCUAUAAAUUACGGCCAGCUUUCAAGCAAUGUUACCGUAACUGCAUACAAAACGAUAACACAGUUACCUUUGCUCGCAUUUCAAGGUAUAAAAUUUCCAUCAAUUUAACCAGUUACGAUUCAACGUUUUAAAGUACUAUAACGUUACCGUUGAUUCAACGAUAUCCGUCUUCUCUGCAGAGUAAGAAUAGAAAUGCAAACACAACCAGAGUCCGGUAAUUAACGGCAGAAGUAUUAACACAAAAAAAUUCAACGCCGUGGGUUAGAUUUAAUUAAUAACCAUCGAACGUAGCCCGUGGUGGCAGUCUACCGAGUCGUUGGAGUGCAUUUUCUAAAUUAAUUUCCGUCCGACUUGAGACCAUGUUUUCUGUCCGUGAUAUUUCCAACGAUUUCCGGCGACGAGGGAACUUGAUGGCCCUUCAUGUGUUCCUAAAGCGAUUUUUAUCGUUGGAACCGAAUGGUACCGGAUCGAUACAAAAUCACAAAGGUCAGAUGAAAUUCCUGAACAAAGAACUACACGCUAUACAAGUAGUAAUUUUUUAAAUUCUAGGAAUUUUAAUUUUAUUAAUCCCUAAUUGGUAGUGAAUUAAUAAUGAAACAUUAGUAUUCCCCUGCAGCAACAUGUUAUUCCUGUUCUAGUAAUGUAAUUUUUCAAUGUCGAGAUUCAAUUAGAACGGACCAAAUCGAUCCCGAUAUCAUCUUUAUAAAAAGAACGAAACCGGUUUCUGCAAAUUCUGUUAGGUAGUGCGCUGUGUAUUUCUUGCUAACAAUCACAGAAACAGUUUACACUCGUUGGCCGAUUUACUAGGAAGGAAUAAUUCAUGCCAGAAAAAGUACGACCACAAAGAUACUUUUUUAUCACCCUAAUAUAAUCAACAGUCGCAUGGACAUUAAACGAUGUUUACGACAUAAUUCAGUUUUUAUUAUAUUUUGCGUCUCAAAAAUGUUCCUGCUUAUUUUAAGUGAUUUACAUCGUCGCGUCGUAACCAAGCUACGAUCAUUAAACAAAUGUGAAGGAUGAUGUAUUCGCAAGAUCAUAUUCAUGGACAUUUUGAUACACAUUACGCAUGACGCCACUUCGGUUUCAUUUAUACUGUUACAAGCUAGAAAAUUUCUAUUCUGGUUGAAGAAUGAAUUGAUGAAAUUUAAUUAUACUUCAAUUUUACAAAUUUUAACAAAUUGUCGUGUCUUCGCGGAGCGUUACCAUCAUAGAAAUUUCGAUCGAUGAUAAUCAUUCAUUCAUAACCCAUCUCUUCGGGAACCCAAGACGCUCGAGAGAGAGAGGGGGACGGUUAUAAACAAGAGGAAUGGCGUGUUAGACACGUUAAUUUAAUGUAAAGUAUUUUAUACCCCAAUUAAACUCGUUCGUAUGUAACCGAGAUUCAAUCAAGUUACAACGCAUCGAUUGAAACCACAUUGUAACACCAGGCAGUAUAUAAUUGUAAAAAUAGUUAAAAGCCAGUCUUCUACGCGUGAAACGAGAAAUCAUGGAUCCCGCUUUGUUUCUAUCAAUUAACCGAGUCCUGUUGCGCGACUAAUCAGAAUACUGGCACGCACGAAAAACCCUUCACUGUGGGCCACCGGUUGCGCAAAAAGUUCGCUAUGGAGGAUGUCGUCUGUUAAAAACAAUUGGGUAUGAUUUAAGACGAAAACGGGGUCAUGUAGAUCUGAGUGGAACGAGAGAAUCGACGGUGUAUGGUACGCGUGUACCGAGAUACUUCGAUCGACGUAUUAAAAGGGUUGUUGGCCAGGCUAGCGAGAUUUAUGAUUAUAAAUGAAAAAAGAAUCCGAAUGGGAACGCUUACCCCA